CUGCUUCAACAGCACAAAUACUAAACUGGCAGUAAUACAGAGAAAAUUAGCAUGGAUUCUGCACCAUGAUGACACUAAUUUGUGUAGUUUUCCAUAUUAAA
ensembl:snRNA U6 U6 spliceosomal RNA